UGGAACAUGUUUAUACUGUCAUCUCCCCUCUGGACCUUUGUACAUGGUGCUGGAGGAGUCAGCAGGAUGGUUGGUGGGGAGCUGGUGUUGCUGGUGUCCUGGUGCCAAGCACAGUGGAUGGCUCACAGGAGGCACUGAAUAAGGAUUGUGGAACCUCUUUGGCCAACAAAUAGACAAAUGAAUGAACGAAGACUCCACGUUGCUCGCAGGAUCAUCAUCGAUUCCAGGACAAUGCAGAGCCUCCACUGAGUGAUAAAGAAGAGGCCACCCCUGGCGAAAGUUGUCCAGGCUAGACCCAAGGACCGCCGAAUGAAUGAGUGAGUAGAGGAAGGAAGGACUGAAUGAAUGAGGGUGUGACCCACACUGCCUAUGACUGGAGGAGAUCAGAGCUCAUAGCUGGGGUGACAGUAAUUAUUUAGUGAAUGUCUAAAGGGCUGGACAUUAUAGCAGACUCUUAAUGAAAAUCAUCUCCUUAAUUAUCACAAAAGUCCUUUGAGGAAGGCACCGUUAUCACCACUUUAUAAAUGAGGAGAUGAAAGCUUAGGAGAUUGUCAUGGAACAGUGGUACCAUAACUGGUAAAUGGUUUUAUUAAGGUAUGAAAAUGGGAGGCCAUAGAUAUGCAUAUGUGAGCAUAGGCGUAUUUGCAGGUGUAUGUAUGAGUGUGUGAUACUUAAUUUCAUCAGAGGAAAACGAUAGGCACUUAUGACAUGAUUGCACAUUUACUGGAUGACAGUAAAUGUUGGUUGUAAGUAGAAGGAUAAAAGUAGAUAAAGUGAAGGGUGGAACAGGAAUAAUGGUUUGACAGUAUAGCUUUGAGGAUGGGAACUCAAGGUCAAUCCGCAGAGGGCUUCCAGAGCUGCCUUCCUGUCUUUAGGGGAAGAGAGAACCAGGCUGAAGGCCCUGAGCGAGGUCAGAGGGCUGUGCUUGUGGAUCCCAGGAGCCAAGGCUGUGUCCAGCAAGGGUCCUGGUGAAGUUCAUGGGCACAUAUGGAAGUCUCUGCCAUGUGACCAAUGUACAUUAGCACCCAGAUCUUGCCCUCUUGGCGAGGUUUCUAGUAGCUCUAUGGUUAUAAUGAUGCUGGGGCCUACCUUUGGACUGAUAUAUGGGUUCAAAGCCCUGGGUGUGCCCAAUAUGAAUCAGGAGGUAGAGGUAGCUCUACCUGAGACCCAUAGAAGCUUAGGGAAGUGCUGUGGGUCUCUACUGGCUAUAUGUGUGUGUGUGUGUACAUAUUUAUAUAAUUUUCAAGGUCA